rfam:Oryza nivara chromosome 4, whole genome shotgun sequence.
UUUAAGUGUAGACGUGAGUUUCUAUAUCCAACGUUUGAUCGUCCGUCUUAUUUGAAAUUUUUUAUGAUUAAUAUUUUUAUUGUUAUUAGACGAUAAAAAUAUGAAUAGUGUGCUUUAUGCGAGAUUUAUUUUUUUAUUUUUUCUUAUACUUUUAAAAUAAGAUGAACGAUCAAAUAUUAAACACGAAAUCCCAUGACAACACUUAAA